rnacentral:rRNA from 1 species
UACAGAGGUCUCAAGCGUUGUUCGGAUUCAUUGGGCGUAAAGGGUGCGUAGGCGGCGCGGUAAGUCGGGUGUGAAAUCUCGGAGCUUAACUCCGAAACUGCAUUCGAUACUGCGGUGCUUGAGGACUGGAGAGGAGACUGGAAUUCAUGGUGUAGCAGUGAAAUGCGUAGAGAUCAUGAGGAGACCAGUGGCGAAGGCGGGUCUCUGGACAGUUCCUGACACUGAGGCACGAAGGCCAGGGGAGCAAACGGG